UUAUUAGUCCCUGGGACUAAUAAUGUAUUAAUAACUUUUCUAAUCUCUUACUAUUUUAAAAGAAGUCUUUAGAAGGCGUUUCUGGAUUUGCAGAUUAUAAACUGACUUGUGGUUAAAUUGUUGAAUCAAUAUGCACUGCUGCGCUGCUUCACACUUAGCGCAUACGUGGAUAUUGAUAUUGGCUAGCCCAUUUGCUAACUGGUGGAACUUUGAAACUUACGUUUAGUUCUCUGGAGUUGUACAUAUUAAAACUGGGGCAGCAAAAUUGUAGGCACAGGACAUACUUACAAAAGCAGUGAAUAAUCAUUACAUAAUUACGCGGUAGAACUUGGUUUACAUUGCAAAUAGUUAUGUAUACUAAGUUGAAAUGUAGAAUCUUCUGAACUGUAAAAUUGUUGUGCCUGGUCUAUUUUAGGUUAGCUUAAGGGUGAAUCCAUCAAUAAUAUUUUUACCAAACAGUUAUUUUUUCGUUUUAUUUUAUUCUGAUGCCCAGUGUUCAUUAGUGAAAGACUUAGUUUUUUAUCUGUCAGGGGCUGGGUCUGUGACACAGCAUUUUGAGUUUAUUUUGUAUUUUUGCUUUCUUAUGUUAUAUUGAAAUGAGGUGAAGUUCUUGUAUUGUUGUUAUUAUUAGUUAAGGUUUAGUUGAGUUCUGGGCUGGUUAUGUUUCAUCUGUGUCUCCUGGGUUGUGUGUCUUUUCUGUUCUCUGUGUAGUCUGUCUUGUCUUCUGUGUUUUACUGUUAUGUCCAUGCCAGGGCAGAAGUAAAUUUUCAGGGGUGAAGAUGCUGUUUACCUUGACCAGCUAAGACUACAGAUUGUAGAUGAAGUCGAGAAAAGUGAAAAGAAUCCUGAUUACAAAGCUGAUGCUCACAACUUUGGCCUUGCAAUGCAAAGAGAUCAUCAAUGAUGACCUACCAGUAGGUCAGAUCCUGGAUUGCUGGCCUACUCUGAAAUCCCAGUCCCAGAUCUGUGCAGAAUUCCACAGGAUUACAAACCUCCACCUGAAGAACCACUUUUAUGCUGUUGGACCAACAUGCUCCCUGGCUCCAGAGUUUAUUCAGAAAGAAAGCUGUUUGGACAGGGAACGUGUCUGAUGUCCUGUCUCAGCUCUUCAGAAGCUAUAAUCUCCAGGAACAAGCUGAUAUCCAUGCCCAAAGUGCUGGUGUGCUUCAUGCCCUCUCUGCCUAUUUGUACGAAGACACCUCUACCUUCAUCAAAACAUGGGAUCGUGUCGAUGUACGUGUUGUAGGACAAGACCCUGGAGAGGCUCUUAUUGUGGCGGUAUGACAUUGACCCAGGUUGGUGAUUUCAGCUGUUUAACAAGAUGCUUGCGGUGCAAUUUAAAGGUGAAACUGCAGGAAUAUUCUCAGUGGUGGUUUGAUGUUGUUAGCCAUUCCCCGCUCUCAAGUGAAGCUGCUGUCUCUGUGCUGCUUUUUUGCAUUGAAAUUGGCUCAAACAUCCUGAACCCACAGAUUAUCUCCCAUAUCCCAGAGCUUUUUAGCCUCUUUUUUUUCUUUCAGACAAACAGCCCUCACUUCAAUAAAAUACUUGCGGGAUAGGACGAGUCUCGCUCCGCAACAGCUGGAUGUCUGACACUGUUUACGUAUAGUGCAAAGUGUCUGACAGCAUGUCAACAUGUCUACAACUUGUUCCACCACAGCUAAGUGGAGAAAUGAAUAAUUCAUUAAUUCACACAUUAAUGUUGUUUAUAGGUUUGCUUUAGGGGUUAUGGGUGCUCCCAAACGGUCUCAUCAAUCCCUGGGUCACACUCCAUCUUCCAUCUGAUGGGGUGUUUAUUGUUGCCCACAGGGACGGUUUAAUAUGACUGCAGUUUUAUAAGCUCUGGGCCGCUCUUCUUAAUUAUGUUCGUCUCCAUAAAAGCCGGCUAUUAAAUCUUGAAAACCUAAUAACGACCUUAGUGUUAAACAGCCUUUUUCCAUCUUUGCACACAGCACUGAGACCAGACAAAACAUAUUUGCUUGCAAGCAGAUGAGAUUAAAAAGGAAGAUUCCUUAUCUUCUAUUUUGUCUUCCUGUCGUUGAUUUCCCGUGUGUUUUAAAAGCAACCUUAUAUGCCACCAUCACAACUCUAGAAAUAAUUUUUCCAGCAUUUUGAAAUAUUAUUACUUCAUAGGGGCAACCCUACAUUUGUGCUUGUGCACAAAUGUCAUACCGGAGCUUGCAAAGUGCCGCCACUGUUUAACUAACAGCUGACGUAAGCUUCUGCAACUAAACUGUUAGUUUCACCUGGAUCACCUUUGGGUCAUCUUUCUGUGCAAACAUUUCACUCAAUUUCCAAUUCUCACUGCAGCACAAAGAGAGACCGUGCAACGGUAAUGGCCACGAAUGAAGAGCGGAAAGAGGUUUCGAUGACUCGACUCGAGAGCAAACCUCCCAUGACGGCUAUCUGGCACUCAACGAAGGCAAUAAUGACAGCGCUCUUUUCCUCUGAAGCUCACUGAACUCUAUUAAUCAUACAAAGAAAUGACUGUAGGCCUCUUUAGCUCCAUCCUCGUGCACUCUCAGAUAAAUGCUGGUUUUUAAGCCUGUUUCCUGCCAAAAUCAAGGAGAGCUUCUAUGGUCUAGAGCACAGGUGUCGAGGGCUGGUGUCCUGCAGGUUUUAGAUGUGUCCUUGAUCCAACACGGUUUAUCUAAAUGGCUAAAUGGCCUCUUAUGCCUAUAUUUAACUCUAUACUUUCAUUCUUGGACUCUUGGACAUUAAAGACUUUGCAUAUGACUGGGUAGCAUUAGCUGUUUAUUGCCAAUCGCCUGUGCCAUUUAUGUUCUUUCUUGCAGACAUUUCAAGGAAAUACAUCACUUUUUGAUCAGAUUAGUAUUUUGAUAAGAGUUUGAUUAUUGGGUGGCCCCAUUGGAUUGCCUGGUUCUUAAGGGUCUUGCAGACUUUUUGACGUUGGGAAUGGGUGUACUACAUAAAGAACUGUCAGUACUUCUUUAGUCUCUCACAAACAGGGGGUCUGAACAGCAGGUGGGCAGACUGGGCUGUAUGCUUGAGGUGACCAUAUUAAAAAUCACCCUUCUCUAUGACUUAAGACAGAGCCAAGGUUAUAAACGUAAGCUUUUGGGUCACAGGGAUAACUUGUGUGGACACCGACCUCAUGGUUUAAAAUUUUGGUCAUGUUUAAUAUAAGCGUCUCUCAUAGUAACAGUGUAUAUAUGACAGAAAAUAAGGAAACGUAAUUUAUGAUUGAACUGUUUGGGUAUGUAGUCAAAAUGAGCUGAUUUUGUUUUUCUUUACCUAAA